CAGCCGUAAACUAUGCGCGUUAGGUGUAUCGGUGACCACGAGUUACCGAGGUGCCGAAGGGAAACCGUGAAACGUGCCGCCUGGGAAGUACGGUCGCAAGGCUGAAACUUAAAGGAAUUGGCGGGGGGAGCACCACAACAGGUGGAGCCUGCGGUUUAAUUUGGACUCAACGCCGGGAAGCUCACCGGAUAGGACAGCAGAAUGAUUGCCGGGCUGAAGACCCUGCAUGACUAGCUGAGAGGAGGUGCAUGGCGUAGACGUCU
rnacentral:rRNA from 1 species